AACCGAGAUUCCGCUAGUAGUGGCGAGCGAACGCGGAAGAGGCCAAACCAAGAGUAGUAAUACUUUUGGGGUUCGGACUGAGUACGGUAUUGACAAGAGUUAGUAGAAUGGAAUGGGAAGUUCAACCAUAGAGUGUGAGAGUCACGUAUACGAAAACUUAAGUCAGCCAUCAGUAUCCAGAGUACCGCCGGACACGUGAAACCCGGUGGGAAUACGGGGGGACCACCCUCCAAGCCUAAAUACUCACCAAUGACCGAUAGUGUAUAGUACUGUGAAGGAAAGGUGAAAAGAACCCCUGGCGGGGAGUGAAAAAGAACCUGAAACCUUGUGCCUACAAGCACAUAGAGCACGUCAACGUGUGAUAUGGUACCUUUUGUAGAAUGGUCCGGCGAGUGAAUGUCACUAGCGAGGUUAAGAACUUAAGGUUUGCAGCCGAAGCGAAAGCGAGUCUUAAUAGGGCGAGUUUAGUUAGUGGUAUUCGACCCGAAACCGAGUGACCUAGCCAUGAGCAGGCUGAAGUGGAGGUAAAACUCCAUGGAGGGCCGAACCCACUCCCGUUGAAAUGGUAGGGGAUGACUUGUGGCUAGCGGAGAAAUUCCAAUCGAACUCGGAGAUAGCUGGUUCUCUCCGAAAUAGCUUUAGGGCUAGCCUCAAUUAACAUUACCGCAGGUAAAGCACUGAAUGGGCUAGGGGGCGAAAGCUUACUGAACCCUAUCAAACUCAGAAUGGCGGAUAAUGAAUAAUUGGGAGUCACACUACGUGAGAUAAGUUUCGUGGUGGAAAGGGAAACAGCCCAGACCCACAGCUAAGGUCCCAAAGUACAGUUAAGUGGAAAAGGAUGUGAAGUUGCGCAGACAACCAGGAUGUUGGCUCAGAAGCAGCCACUCAUUCAAAGAGUGCGUAAUAGCUCACUGGUCGAGUGAUUUUGCGCCGAAAAUUUAACGGGGCUAAACUGUACACCGAAGCUUGGGAAUAUACCAUAUGGUAUGUUGGUAGGAGAGCGUCGUAUGCGGGGUGAAGUCGUAGCGAAAGCGGCGGUGGACUGCAUAGGAGUGAGAAUGCCGGAAUGAGUAGCGAGAAUUAUGUGAGAAUCAUAAUGGCCGAAAGACUAAGGUUUUAGAAGGAAGGUUCGUCCGCUUCUAGUUAGCCGGGAGCUAAGGCGAGGCCGAAAGGCGUAGUCGAUGCACAUACGGUUGAGAUUCCGUAGCCACCUUAAAUUUAAACUAAGGGACACAUUGAAAGGGAAUAACCCAGGCGUUGGUUGACCUGGGCGUAAGGGAACGAAAAUAAGUAGUGAAGUAUUCUUGGACAGUGGCGAGAAAAGCUUAGUGUAUAUUAUUAGGGUGCCCGUACUGCAAACCGACACAGGUAGUCAGGAAGAGAAUUCUAAGGCCAUCGGGAGAAGCGUUGUUAAGGAACUCGGCAAAUUGACCCCGUAACUUCGGAAUAAGGGGUGCUCACGAGAGUGAGCCGCAGUGAAUAGGUCCAGGCAACUGUUUAUCAAAAACACAGCUCUCUGCUAAAUCGUAAGAUGACGUAUAGGGGGUGACACCUGCCCGGUGCUGGAAGGUUAAGAGGAGGAGUGCAAGCCCCGAAUCGAAGCCCCAGUAAACGGCGGCCGUAACUAUAACGGUCCUAAGGUAGCGAAAUUCCUUGUCGGGUAAGUUCCGACCCGCACGAAUGGUGUAAUGAUCUGGACACUGUCUCAACAACGCACCCGGCGAAAUUGUAGUACCGGUGAAGAUGCCGGUUACCCGCGGCAAGACGGAAAGACCCCAUGGAGCUUUACUGUAACUUAAUAUUGGGUCUCGGUACUUUAUGUACAGGAUAGGCGGGAGACUUGGAAACUAGCACGCCAGUGUUAGCGGAGUCAUCCUUGGGAUACCGCUCUUAAGGUAUUGAGAUUCUAACCUGCAGCCUUGAAUCAGGUUGGGGGACAUUGUUAGGUGGGCAGUUUGACUGGGGCGGUCGCCUCCAAAAGAGUAACGGAGGCGUUCAAAGGUUGGCUCAGCAUGGACGGAAACCAUGCUUUAGAGUAUAAACGCAUAAGCCAGCCUAACUGCGAGACUGACGGGUCGAGCAGUAACGAAAGUUGGAGUUAGUGAUCCGGCGGUAUGUGAGUGGAAAUGCCGUCGCUCAACGGAUAAAAGCUACCCUGGGGAUAACAGGCUGAUCUCCCCCAA
rnacentral:rRNA from 1 species